UAUCCAAAUACUUCAGGGUACGUCAGUAGUCUUUUGAUUCUCUUUUCUUCUUCGUACAGACGAAAACAAAUCACUUGAUUUUGAUUUCAUCCCAUCGAAAAUUCAAGCCACCAAAUCAGUUAUCACUCUUCAUCUUCAGAAGAAGUUUACAGUUGAAGUGCUGCUGACGAGAUGGUUACAGUACCUGAGUUGAAGACGAAGUUUGUAGCGGAGGUGGUGGCGAUGAGUCAGUGAGAUGCCCUGCUACUUAAGGGGAAGAAGAAGAAGAGAGAGCAGAGAAGCAAAAUAAGAAGAAGAAAGACACAAAAAGGAAUUAACUAUGUAUAUAUUGUUGUAACUGAUCAUUUUUCAAUCAAUUCACUGGCGAAAAAUGCCGAGUCCAGUUCGUCGUAGUCCAAGAAUACAAGCUCAGCUUCGCAUGGAAAUUGACAAUGAACGGCAACAACAAAGAGAUAUUCGAUUGAACAACCGCCAAAUUUUCAGAAAAGGAAAAAUGAGCGGCAAUGACUGAAGCUGAAAGGCAAGAGCUUGUUCAAAAAUGACGCCACACUCAUCUUAUGCGGAAAACACGAGAUCGACUUGCUAACAAAGAUGGUCUUGAGACAUCAACAAGUUCAGGUGAGCGUGGCAUGAAAUGUAUAAUUGUUCUUUGCUGUAGUGCAGUAUAAUGUCAAUGGUAUAAUUCUUAUUGGUUGCAAGAAAUGAACAAGUUUUUGAUUGAAAAAAUAUUAUUAUUAAAUGAUAAAUUCAAAUUUAUUUGUGAUUA